UAGAGCAUUUUGUAUGAAGGGA
rnacentral:miRNA from 1 species